AUUGAACGCUGGCGGAAUGCUUUACACAUGCAAGUCGAACGGCAGCACGGGAGCUUGCUCCUGGUGGCGAGUGGCGAACGGGUGAGUAACAUAUCGGAACGUAUCCAAUAAUGGGGGAUAACUAAGCGAAAGCUUGGCUAAUACCGCAUACGCCCUGAGGGGGAAAGCUAGGGAUCUUCGGACCUGGCGUUAAUGGAGCGGCCGAUAUCUGAUUAGCUAGUUGGUGAGGUAAAAGCUCACCAAGGCGACGAUCAGUAGCUGGUCUGAGAGGACGACCAGCCACACUGGAACUGAGACACGGUCCAGACUCCUACGGGAGGCAGCAGUGGGGAAUUUUGGACAAUGGGCGCAAGCCUGAUCCAGCCAUUCCGCGUGAGUGAAGAAGGCCUUCGGGUUGUAAAGCUCUUUCGCAAGGGAAGAAAGAUUACGCUCUAACAUAGCGUGAUUAUGACGGUACCUUGAUAAGAAGCACCGGCUAACUACGUGCCAGCCGCCGCCGUAAUAC
rnacentral:rRNA from 1 species